AUGUUUGUUAAAUUGUGGUAUUUUAUUUUGUUAGGUUUAUUGACAAAAUAUUGCAAUAUGUAAACAACUUAUAGCUUUUAUAGCAAACUUUUCUAAAAUGUUAGUUAUAAGUACACUUGUCUACCCUGAAAAAUUUACUAGUUAAAAUUGAGGUGAGAAUUUUGUGAAUUUUUGCAUCCCUGAAAGAUCUUUGAUAUUACCACUGUAUUAUGAUAAUAAUUAUUAUUAGUAAAAGUUAUAGCGCAUUGUUUCAUACUAGCAGUAUGAAUAUUGCAAGUUGUUUAAUCAUAUUUCUAUUGCUUGCUUGAUGCUACAUUAGUGAUAGAAUAAUUGAAUAUCAGUAAAUUCCUAUCUACUCCAAAUUAAUUUUAUCAGAAAAUAUUGCAGAACAUGUAUCUAUCUGUGCUACCUAUCAAGAAAAAUACUCAAUACUGGUUUUAAUUCUGAAUUUAAUCUAUUCAUGUUAGUAAAGCUAUCCAAUACUUAAUGCAAAAUCGGUUUAAUACUUUUAGUAUGUAUAAUAUACCUAUUAGUUUUUUAUUCAGUAUUAAUAUAUUCUUAGUUUAUAA